GCAAGUACCCCGUCAACGCCUCGCUCAAGGAGACCAUCGCCACCAUCCAGUCCCAGGUCGCCAAGAUCGAGGAUGACAUGAAGUAAAAUUUUGGAAGAUUGGCAGCAACUUAACACUACAUUUGCUAGGCUAGCUGGGUACUGUAUUUUGGACAGUGUUGUUUAACACUUUAACAGUUACAUUCGGUCCUCGGCGCUGAAUUGGUAGAUUUUGGAUGUAGCUUACUUCCUAUUUGUCUUGGUCUGUUUGGUUCCGACUAGCUACCUAUUGCGCAGCUAGUUUCAUGAGUAUUUAGUCUUCUGUCCCCUUUUCCGGUACUAAUUUGCCACAUAAUGUUCAUGAUGCAUCAUAUCUCCUGUCGAAGUACUUUGCUGUGAUGCUUUGUUUUGGGGUCAGUCAGUAGUACUCUGAACAAGAGCAUAAACAUA